ACACCAGCGCCACAAGUGGGGGUCGGUUUUAUUGGGCCUAAAGCGUCCGUAGCAGGUUUAAUCAGUCCUCUGUGAAAUUGACCAACUCAAUUGGUCAGCGUGCAAGGGAUACUGUUAGACUAGGGACCGGGAGGAGUAUGCGGUAUUGUCGGGGGAGCGGUAAAAUGUUAUAAUCCCGAUAGGACCACCGAUGGCGAAGGCAGCAUACUAGAACGGAUCCGACUGUGAGGGACGAAAGCCAGGGGAGCGAACCGGAUUAGAUACCCUAGUAGUCC
rnacentral:rRNA from 1 species